rnacentral:lncRNA from 1 species
AUGAAGCAUAGCAGGGAAGGGGGGGUGGGGAGGGAGAUGGUGACGGGGCGGAGGCAGGGGCUUCCCACCUGGAGCACCCAGGGUGCUCUAGGAGAGCCUGGUCCUGCAGAAGAGCCAGAGGGGCUGCCUGGGCGCCCGGGCGCGCGGUGUGCGUGUGUGUGUGUGUGUGGGGGGGGGGCAGGGGUGCGCCCUGCAGCAGCCGGGUCUCCGCAUCCGCAGGAGCAGCUGCAGGUAGGGAGGUGGGGGCACCCUGGGCCAGGGCUCCGGGAGGGAGGAAGCUGCAGAUGGGGGUGCGAGCUCGGGGAACGGGGUGCGGGGUGUAGGGGGCCAGAGGAGCCGGCAGGAGGGGAGCGCCCACGGGAGAGAUGGCGGGGACCGGGGGCACCGCGGGACCCGGGCCGAGCCGUCGGAGGAGGGCACGCGGGGCGCUCCGACGGGGCGAGGGGGAGGCGAGGCUGCGGGAUGCCCGAGCCGCGGGAAGUUGUGCAGGGUCGGGGUGGCAGCUGGAAGGUCAGGCGGGAGGACAGAUGGGGAAGAGAAGCGCGCACGGCCUGGGGGAAGGGAGGCGAGCGAGAAGGCGGUGAGGAGGCUGGAGAGGCUGAGACCGGCGGCGGCGGCGGCGGGGACGCAGGGCCGGGCGGGAGGAGCGGGCGAAGGGCCGUGCCCACCGCACGCCCAGACCACGCGCGGCCCGCCGGGGUCUCCCCCGCCACUCACCUGGGGGCUCCAGCUCCGGAUCCUGAGUCCCGCUCCGGAUCUUCCUUCCCGCCCUGCCCCUGCGACUCGAGCGCCCCCGAAUCCCGCUCGCUCGGGCAGGUUCCGCCCGCAGCAUCUUCACCUCGUGGGACGCCCGCGGCCACGCCUCCGGCAGUUUCCUAUUGGCUGGCGCUCACGCCUCUCAUCUUGAUAUUGGCUAAGGGAUCGUCGGCCAUGCAAAUCAGGACGGGCCCGCUGCCUCACCGAUUGGCUGGCGCUCGCGGAGGGCCGCCCCCCUUGACUUGUGCUCUGAUUGGCUCCGAGGCCUUGACGACGAGAGAACGCGGGGCGGGUCCGCGGCCUGAGCGCUGGGCGCCAGCUUUCCGAGGCUCCUCCCGGGAGCGGCCCGAAGCAGCGCGCCCCUCAGCCGGUCCUCGGCCCGCAAGACCUGAGGCCAGUACACAAGACCGCGUACUGGCUGCCAGGCCUCUGGGCCCGUCGUGA